rnacentral:tRNA from 1 species
UUCGUUGUAGCUCAGUGGAAGAGCGGUUCCGGUCUUCGUGCCGGAAAUGGUCAUGAGUUCAAUUCUCAUCAGCGGUA